rnacentral:tRNA from 1 species
GCCCGGGUGGUGGAACGGUAGACACCGGUUGCUCAAAACGACCUGCCUUCGUGGCGUGCGGGUUCGAAUCCCGCCCCGGGUA